GACGAACGCUGGCGGCGUGCUUAACACAUGCAAGUCGAGCGGAAAGGCUCCUUCGGGGGUACUCGAGCGGCGAACGGGUGAGUAACACGUGAGUAAUCUGCCCUGUGCUCUGGGAUAGCCACCGGAAACGGUGAUUAAUACCGGAUACAACCACUAUCCGCAUGGGUUGGUGGUGGAUAGUUUUUUCGGCACAGGAUGUGCUCGCGGCCUAUCAGCUUGUUGGUGAGGUAAUGGCUCACCAAGGCUUUGACGGGUAGCCGGCCUGAGAGGGUGACCGGUCACACGGGGACGGAGACACGGCCCAGACUCCUACGGGAGGGAGCAGUGGGGAAUAUUGGACAAUGGGCGCAAGCCUGAUCCAGCAACGCCGCGUGAGGGAUGACGGCCUUCGGGUUGUAAACCUCUUUCAGCAGGGACGAAGCGAAAGUGACGGUACCUGCAGAAGAAGGACCGGCCAACUACGUGCCAGCCGCCGCAGUAACAC
rnacentral:rRNA from 1 species